GCCGGGUGUGGUGGCGCACACCUGUAAUCCCAGCUACUUGGGAGGCUGAGACAGGAGAAUCACUUGAACCCAGGAGGUGGAGGUUACAGUGAACUGAGAUCAUGCCACUGCACUGCAGCCUGGGCGAGACAGUGAGACUCUGUCUCAC
rnacentral:SRP_RNA from 1 species